rnacentral:lncRNA from 1 species
AAAAAGGUAAAUGAAUCGAGGGGAAAAUGAUGAGGAGCGAGAUUUAUUUUUUGCAAACAAACCCAUUGUUUCAGGUUCAUAAUAGUAAGGAUGAUAAUGAUGAAGAAGGUGAAAGUCAGCAUUGUGCCGCCGUUGAUGGAUCUUUCUCUCUCUCUCUCUCUCUCUCUCUCUCUCUCUCCCCCCUGCAGACUCUCUCUUUCUGUUGUUGUAUGGAAGGUUUUACUGGCUCAACACGCCAUUUCCGACUCCUACUCCUACUAUCCGAACAACUCUAACAUUUGCGAAAGCUUUUCUGUUCC